GAGAAGCGCAUUAUACUUGAAAACGUAACAUAUAACAUGUGCGAUUGUAUGUCGAUACAAUAACACUUUUUGUACGGAAUAAUAUACAAAAAACGUUGAAGUCCCUUAACCCUGUUUUACGGUGCGGUCUUUGAAAUGACUUCGGGUAUAUACACUUACACCGCCCUGCCCCCGAAAACCGUCUUUCCGUCCGAAGAAACGAAACAAAGGACGACAGGAUUGUAAUGUACAGAAACGGAA